AUGAAGUUAGUAAAAGAAUGCUGGGUCAAGGAAUGGUACAACAUUUUCUCACUUUAUUCAAAUCUUGCAGAUUUACAAAGCUCGAGAACAACCAAAGACUACCUUCCGUCGCCUGCUCCGCUUCGUCAAAUCAGUUGCAUCUUAUGGAAAGUGUUAAAGUUUCACUUCACGAUAGAGGAAGCCAUACAUCCAGAAUCGUGGGAGAAGAAUAAUCGAACCAUAUUGAUGAGAAUUCCUCUUGCACCACCAGCUGGCAGCAGGUUAACCUGGGGCUUUGAUUUAAUGAGCUUGUUCUCUACUGCCAAGUCAGCAGCAGGCCCUGUAGUUUUAGUCGGUAAUUUUUUUUUUAGAAAAGGAGGAAUACCCCCGGCCUCUGCAUCUGGACGAUGCAUACGGCCAAUUUAUUAA
rnacentral:rRNA from 1 species